CGGACGGGUGAGUAAUGUCUGGGGAAACUGCCCCGAUGGAGGGGGAUAACUACUGGAAACGGUAGCUAAUACCGCAUAACGUCGCAAGACCAAAGAGGGGGACCUUCGGGCCUCUUGCCAUCGGAUGUGCCCAGAUGGGAUUAGCUAGUAGGUGGGGUAACGGCUCACCUAGGCGACGAUCCCUAGCUGGUCUGAGAGGAUGACCAGCCACACUGGAACUGAGACACGGUCCAG
rnacentral:rRNA from 1 species